AUGCAAGGAACACAUACAUAUAUAUUAUAUAUGUGUGGUUUCCAUUGCGCUGGUACCUUAGGCCUAGUACAUGCAAAUGUGGGAAGUCUCUGUCUGGGCUCUGUACAGACAAUUUCAAGGAAAGGGAGCAUGCAGAAUUUCCUCAGCAGACAGGAUAUUAUGGGAAGGUUUUCCCUUGGAUUUAUUUCUUUUGUUCUUUACAAGCAAAGAUUACUGGUAAUUGUGCAAAUGCAAAGGGAAAUCCUUGUGUGCAUGAAGAGCAACUAUAUUCACUAAAAGGAAGUAAAAUAUACUUUGCCCACAAUACUUUUCACUGUGUCCGAUAUAAACAUGUUGGGUUUGAUUAUUAUUCUAGUUGAACAACUGUAUUUAAAAUCUAUCUGUACAAGGCCUUUCAUGAAUAUCUGUUUUUCCACUUCCCAUGUGGAAACCACAUAUUCAGUAUUAUGAAUAAGUGUUCUGAAUCGGAACCAUCGGUGAGUCUGGGGGACAACUGGAUGAAGAGACUGUUGUAUAGCAAUUCAAUUCAAAGGUAAAUAUCAAUACAUGUGUAAUGCACAACUGUUUAGAAUGGGCAGCAUGAUACAAAAGAAAACCGACUGUGUUUAAUAAUAAGUAAGCAAUGAACAACUUCCUGCACACAAGUGUCGCAUGGUUGGGAUGCUUACAGGAAUAAGCCCACUGAACGCAGUGAGAAUAGCACAAAUACUCUUGCACUAUAAAAGGUAAAGGUACCCCUGCCCGUACGGGCCAGUCUUGCCAGACUCUAGGGUUGUGCGCUCAUCUCACUCUAUAGGCCGGGAGCCAGCGCUGUCCGCAGACACUUCCGGGUCACGUGGCCAGCGUGACAAAGCUGCAUCUGGCGAGCCAGCGCAGCACACGGAACGCCGUUUACCUUCCCGCUAGUAAGCGGUCCCUAUUUAUCUACUUGCACCCGAAGGUGCUUUCGAACUGCUAGGUUGGCAGGCGCUGGGACCGAACGGCGGGAGCGCACCCCGCCGCGGGGAUUCGAACCGCCGACCUUUCGAUCGGCAAGUCCUAGGCGCUGAGGCUUUAACCCACAGCGCCACCCAUGUCCCUUGCACUAUAAGCAUCCCCAAAAUAUGAUGCCAGUGUGCAGGAAGGCAGAAAUAAUAAUGGAAAUAAAGGAGAAGGUUUUGCAUGUCCCUGAAAGACACUAAGCAAAGUGAAUAGUUUGAAUUAAAAUCUUACAUAAAGUUGCCUAUGUACAAAAUGUACUGCACCUAAUGGUUCUUACAUAUGAAUAGCUGAGCAGAACUGCAGCCUUGGCUCUUUGCACAUGAAUUUUAGUAGCACCUUGAGUAGUCUUUCCCUCCCUCCCUCCCCUCUCUAAUACACUGAUGCAAAAUUUCCUUGAUCAGCAUAAACCGUUCUUUCAUGUAUUGACACUUGCAAUUCAUUACUAGUGUGCGAUUUCAAGGUGACUUAAAUUUUAAUAGCUUCAUGUUUUUUAAGAUUUGAAAAGUCUAGGGUGAAUAAAAACCUCAGCUAGGUUUCAUUGAUUUGGAGGUUCACGGUGUCUACCUAUAGAACCCACAAGGCACAGUAUGUAAGAGUUAAUACCUGCAACUUCCUUGUGCUUCUCCAUAGCAACUGAAAUAGAAGGGAUAGAAUUACUUCUGUAUUUAUUACUUCUGACUGUUCCACUUGAGUUUUACAGAGUGAGGUACUGGUUUUUAAUGUGGGAAAGGGUAUACGGAAGAUUAAGAUUUUACCAUUUCCCCCUCCUAACAUUGACAUCUCACAUUUUGCAUUCUGCAAAAAUGUUGCAAAACUUUAAGAGAACUGUAAAGCAAGGCCUUACUUACACAUUGAAUUCUCCAUGACCGACUUUCCUGUUCCAUUGGCAGCACAAGACUAAUUAACAUCUCACCUCAAGGCUCCUAAAACUUGAUAGUGGUUAAAAGUGUUAGGGGAGGCAUAGGGCCUCUGGAGGGAGACAUAACGUGCUCUUUCUGGGGUGGUUUGUUCACCUUUGGUCCCCACCCUAAACUCAGCUCUCACCUGUGUCUCCUAGAAGCUGUCAGCAUGCAAGAGUGGUCCCACCCCACGAAUGGUUUAGACUGGCCAGGUAAACCAAUGGUAGCUGAUGGGUCUCAAACCCUCAGUGAGUUGCAUCCCUUGCAUGCAAAGACAGGCUCUGGUAGAUUGAGCUAUUAAGAUAUGAUUUUAAGGGCUGCCACAUGGAAGAUGGAGCAAGCUUGCUUUCUCCUGCUCUGGGGGGUAGGACUCAAACCAAGUGCUUCAAGUUACAAAAAAAAAAGGAGAUUUCAGUCAUCAGAAAAACUUUCUGACAGUAAGAGCUGCUUGACAGUGGAACAGACCCCCUUGGGUGGUUGUGGACUCUCCUUCACUGGAGGUUUUUAAGUAGAGGUUGGGUGGCCAUUCGUCCUAGAUGCGUUAGCUGAGACUCCUGCAUUGCAGGGGGCUAGAAUAGAUGGGCCUUGUGGUUCCUAAUUCUAUGAGCAGGCGAGACCAACAGUGGGUCUAAUGGUCAAGAAGGUGGUUUCUGUAGGAGGGAAGUGGGAGACAGAUGGGGCUUGUCAACCUAGGAAAGUAACCCAUCUAGGUGAAGGAAAGCUCUGAUCCUAAACCUCACCUGCCUUGCGAAGUUCCUAAGACGAUUGGAUGGUGCCUUGUUUGCCUACUUCUGGCAACUCCUGCAGCCAAGCUGGCACGAAACGUAUUGCUCUACUUUCCUUUGGACCAAAUCACUAAGACCAAGAGAGGGGGGUCUUGUCUUCUGGGCAGCCCAUUCACACAGCCCAAGCUUGUGCCCCAAGGUCACUUCAGUGCCACUAACACAGUGGUUUGACUUCAUCCCCAGAGGCGCACUCCACUGUCUCUCGAGACAGACAGAUGCCAACAACUCUACCUAUUGCCAUUGGUCAUAGGAAUACUACAUUUUAUAUAUAUCACAUAUAUUUCACACUUAUAUAAAUCACAUAUAUAUAAAUCUCUCUCUCUCUCUCUCUCUCACACACACACACACACACACACCAUCUUGAUGCAACUAAGUCACAACUCCCAUUGUCAAAAAGUACUGUCUGCUGAUUGAAUUUUUUUCAUGCAUAGUCACUAGCACAGUAACUGUCCCUGGGCAAUAUCACAACUGAACAAUUGCAGCAGAGUUGCUAUAGGGCCUAUGAAAGUCUACGGUAUGCUUUUUCUUGAAUGUUGCUUCUUGAUAAGCAUA
rnacentral:lncRNA from 1 species